rnacentral:rRNA from 1 species
CCUACGGGGGGCAGCAGUGAGGAAUAUUGGUCAAUGGCCGAAAGGCUGAACCAGCCAAGUCGCGUGAGGGAAGAAUGUCCUAUGGAUUGUAAACCUCUUUUGUCAGGGAGCAAAGUCACCCACGUGUGGGUGUUGGAGAGUACCUGAAGAAAAAGCAUCGGCUAACUCCGUGCCAGCAGCCGCGGUAAUACGGAGGAUGCGAGCGUUAUCCGGAUUUAUUGGGUUUAAAGGGUGCGCAGGCGGGAGAUCAAGUCAGCGGUAAAAUGUCGGGGCUCAACCCCGGCCGGCCGUUGAA